rnacentral:rRNA from 1 species
ACGGGGCCUGCGCAGCGGAACCCCCCGGGGUUUAGCAGCGCAGUGCCUAGUGGCGGACGGGUGAGUAACGCGUGGGUAACCUGCCCUGUACAGGGGGACAACAUCCUGAAACGGCUGCUAAUACCGCAUAAGCCCGCGGCGCCGCAUGGCGCUGCGGGGAAAACUCCGGUGGUACAGGAUGGGCCCGCGUCUGAUUAGCUAGUUGGCGGGGUAACGGCCCACCAAGGCAGCGAUCAGUAGCCGGCUUGAGAGAGUGGACGGCCACAUUGGGACUGAGACACGGCCCAGACUCCUACGGGAGGCAGCAGUGGGGAAUAUUGCACAAUGGGGGGAACCCUGAUGCAGCAACGCCGCGUGGGUGAAGAAGUAUUUCGGUAUGUAAAGCCCUAUCAGCAGGGAAGAAGAUGACGGUACCCGACUAAGAAGCCCCGGCUAAAUACGUGCCAGCAGCCGCGGUAAUACGUAUGGGGCAAGCGUUAUCCGGAUUUACUGGGUGUAAAGGGAGCGCAGGCGGCGCGGCAAGUCAGAUGUGAAAGCCCGGGGCUCAACCCCGGGACUGCAUUCGCAACUGCCGUGCUGGAGUGUCGGAGAGGCAAGUGGAAUUCCUAGUGUAGCGGUGAAAUGCGUAGAUUUUAGGAGGAACACCAGUGGCGAAGGCGGCUUGCUGGACGAUAA